UACGUAGGGUGCGAGCGUUUGUCCGGAAUUAUUGGGCGUAAAGAGCUCGUAGGCGGUUUGUCGCGUCUGCUGUGAAAACGCGAGGCUCAACCUCGCGCCUGCAGUGGGUACGGGCAGACUAGAGUGUGGUAGGGGAGAUUGGAAUUCCUGGUGUAGCGGUGGAAUGCGCAGAUAUCAGGAGGAACACCGAUGGCGAAGGCAGAUCUCUGGGCCAUUACUGACGCUGAGGAGCGAAAGCGUGGGGAGCGAACAGG
rnacentral:rRNA from 1 species